rnacentral:sRNA from 1 species
GCAUGUGUGAAGUUAAUCUGGCUAUCACCUCUGUCGCCCUGGUCACUGGGAUUGAUUUGACUGACUUUGAUGGAUAGGCAGGUGCCCUUCCCCUCUCACCACACCUUGUAUAUUCCUUCCAAACAUGUAUGCUCAGUGGAUGAUGAUGCUCUUCCCAAGUGGAAAGUCAUUCUUCUAUCCAGAGGACAGUAAUGACCUCCAGCAAGCUCUCAGGGAAGUAAGUCACUGGUGGAGAACCCCGUGGUUGCCUUGUUCUGGCUCCUACCCGUCUUU